rnacentral:lncRNA from 1 species
UUUCUCAGCAGCCCAUUCCCCUCAACGUUUGAUCUUGGCCAGUUCCCUUAAACCAAAAUUUUCUUUUUAUCCGCCCAGACCAUUUCUUCUUGACCCAGUCUGCUUAAACCCGACCUGUUCACCUUUUCAUCCUCUUCAACGAGAACAAUACCCAGAAGCUUGCAACAUCCAUCCCAGCGCGUAGGUAACAACACGACAAUCCCAGCAGCAAUCCAAUCAUUUCUGUCGCGUCGGGGAUUUUCUCGUUUGUUGCUUCCGUUUCAAUUUUCUUAUGGGAAAGGUUGUUUCCCCUGCUCGUUCCAUCCACAGUUCGUUACCAUCAACAAGAUUGACCGAGUUCAUUAUGAACUCAAAUUUUCCCUUGCAUUAUUGAUGAGUCGUAGAGGCUUAACUUCCUUUUGUUCGAGUCAAUCAUUCCCUACAAGGUGAACAUGUUUCAAAAAUGAAGAACUGGAAGCGAGUUGAAGAGUUGAAGAAGUUGGGAUUAAAAGACCUCAACUUUUUUUUCCGUAUAUAUUUUUGUAUUUCAUUUGUAAUGGGCCUACGCCCUUGUUGUCUUUAUUUUUCACCAUUUAUUAGUUAUUAUAUUUAGUCUAGGACAGGUAUAAAGAUAAAUGGGUCAAAGGCCUACAAGCAAGUGGGUCCAAAUUAUGGUCAAGGCGAACAGAAAUGUACCAAGUUUGAUUGAAAUUAUGUAAUGAACGCCAUGAUUUUUAGUGAAGUUUAUUUUUUGGGAUACAACUUUUUGUUUUAAUGACGCAAUAUAUCCUUCAGAGCACUAGGCCUACCCUUGGCAAAAAGGAUUACAUGUAUGAUUAGGACACG